AGAAAUUGCAUAUUUUGGCCCAUCCCCUUCCUUCCUUCUUCCCCGACGCCGCCGCCACCUCUCCCCACCCAUCUCCUCCAUUUCCACUACCAAGACUUCCUCCUCCCUUCUCCCUUGCACCAGCGUCCUCCUUUCUCUUCUUUUUCUUCUUCUUCUCCUUCCUCUAUAUUCACGUCGGCUUGUAGGUGGAAUUACUCCUCCCCGUUGCCACCAUGUAACCAGCCACCUGCCGCUAUCUUUUAGCUGAUCUGAUGCUGGAUUCGAGUUCCUCACCCUCUAAAAGCCAAGAACAGCCCUUCCUCCACCCAUUAUCCUUGCUCGCAAUAUUGUGGAGCCUCACCGGAGCAGCGUCAUUCCAACGUUGACUUACCACUUUCUGG
rnacentral:lncRNA from 1 species